GACGAACGCUGGCGGCGUGCUUAACACAUGCAAGUCGAACGGAAAGGCCCUGCUUUUGUGGGGUGCUCGAGUGGCGAACGGGUGAGUAACACGUGAGUAACCUGCCCUUGACUUUGGGAUAACUUCAGGAAACUGGGGCUAAUACCGGAUAGGAGCUCCUGCUGCAUGGUGGGGGUUGGAAAGUUUCGGCGGUUGGGGAUGGACUCGCGGCUUAUCAGCUUGUUGGUGGGGUAGUGGCUUACCAAGGCUUUGACGGGUAGCCGGCCUGAGAGGGUGACCGGCAACAUUGGGACUGAGAUACGGCCCAGACUCCUACGGGAGGCAGCAGUGGGGAAUAUGGCACAAUGGGCGGAGGCCUGAUGCAGCAACGCCGCGUGCGGGAUGACGGCCUUCGGGUGGUAAACCGCUUUCGCCUGUGACGAAGCGUGAGUGACGGUAAUGGGUAAAGAAGCACCGGCUAACUACGU
rnacentral:rRNA from 1 species